UACAGAGGUCUCAACCGUUGUUCGGAUUCAUUGGGCGUAAAGGGUGUGUAGGUGGCGCGCUAAGUCGGGUGUGAAAUUUCGGAGCUUAACUCCGAAACUGCAUUCGAUACUGGCGUGCUUGAGGACUGGAGAGGAGACUGGAAUUCAUGGUGUAGCAGUGAAAUGCGUAGAGAUCAUGAGGAAGACCAGUGGCGAAGGCGGGUCUCUGGACAGUGGACUGACGCUGAGACGCGAAAGCGUGGGGAGCAAACAGG
rnacentral:rRNA from 1 species